rnacentral:misc_RNA from 1 species
UUUCCGUAAGUGAACCUGCGGAAGGACCAUUACCGAGUGAGGGCCCUCUGGGUCCAACCUCCCACCCGUGUUUAUCGUACCUUGUUGCUUCGGCGGGCCCGCCUCACGGCCGCCGGGGGGCACCCGCCCCCGGGCCCGCGCCCGCCGAAGACACCAUUGAACGCUGUCUGAAGAUUGCAGUCUGAGCAUCUUAGCUAAAUCAGUUAAAACUUUCAACAACGGAUCUCUUGGUUCCG